CAACCCCUAAGCACAGCUUAUUGUUGGGCGUCUACGUCUGUAGUGCCUCAAAGACAUUGGCGGAGCGGCAGCAGUCCUCUGAGCGUAGUAAUUCUUUAUCUCGCUUCUGUUAGGCGCUGCCCCCCGGCCGUAAAACCCCCAAUUUUUUCU
rnacentral:misc_RNA from 1 species